rnacentral:rRNA from 1 species
GCCUACGGGGGGCAGCAGUGGGGAAUAUUGCACAAUGGGGGAAACCCUGAUGCAGCGACGCCGCGUGGAGGAAGAAGGUCUUCGGAUUGUAAACUCCUGUCCUUGGGGACGAUAAUGACGGUACCCAAGGAGGAAGCACCGGCUAACUCCGUGCCAGCAGCCGCGGUAAUACGGAGGGUGCAAGCGUUACUCGGAAUCACUGGGCGUAAAGAGCGCGUAGGCGGGAUAGCAAGUCAGAUGUGAAAUCCUAUGGCUUAACCAUAGAACUGCAUUUGAAACUGUGUUUCUUGAGUGCUGGAGAGGCA